rnacentral:rRNA from 1 species
GACGAACGCUGGCGGCGUGCUUAACACAUGCAAGUCGAACGGAAAGGCCCUGCUUUUGUGGGGUGCUCGAGUGGCGAACGGGUGAGUAACACGUGAGUAACCUGCCCUUGACUUUGGGAUAACUUCAGGAAACUGGGGCUAAUACCGGAUAGGAGCUCCUGCUGCAUGGUGGGGGUUGGAAAGUUUCGGCGGUUGGGGAUGGACUCGCGGCUUAUCAGCUUGUUGGUGGGGUAGUGGCUUACCAAGGCUUUGACGGGUAGCCGGCCUGAGAGGGUGACCGGCCACAUUGGGACUGAGAUACGGCCCAGACUCCUACGGGGGGAAGGAGUGGGGAAUAUUGCACAAUGGGCGGAAGCCUGAUGCAGCAACGCCGCGUGCGGGAUGACGGCCUUCGGGUUGUAAACCGCUUUCGCCUGUGACGAAGCGUGAGUGACGGUAAUGGGUAAAGAAGCACCGGCUAACUACGU